rnacentral:lncRNA from 1 species
CUGAGCUUGGGCAAUCCACCUGCCUUGGCCUCCCAGGUGUGAGCCACCUCACCUGGCCCAAAAACUCUUCAUUAUUUGAGCUUAUGUGUACUAUAGGUUAUUAAGUCUUCAGGUUCUAGAAACAGUGGGUCGAUUAAAACUCCUGAAUACAAAAUUACUAGAGACUCAUUAUUCCAGAACUAAUCAGUAAAGAACUCAGAAGGAGAGUGGAAAGACUGGUAUGCUUUUAAAAAGAGACUUUUUUUUUUUUUUUUUUUUUUGAGACGGAGUCUCACUCUGUGGCCCAGGCUAGAGUGCAGUGGCGCCAUCUCGGCUCACUACAAACUCCACCUCCCAGGUUCGCGCCAUUCUCCUGUCUCAGCCUCGUGAGUAGCUGGGAUUACAGGUGCGUGCCAUCAUGCCCAGCUAAUUUUUUGUAUUUUUAGUAGAGAUGGGGUUUCACCGUGUUAGCCAGGAUGGUCUCGAUCUCCUGACCUCGUGAUCCACCCGCCUCGGCCUCCCAAAGUGCUGGGAUUACAGGCGUGAGCCACCACGCCCGGCCUCAAAAAGAGACAUUUUCAGCUUUCAUUAUCAUUUUAUAAAUAUGUCUAGCAUUGAAGUGCCUUAACUCCUGGGCUCAAGGGAUCCUCGUGCCUCAGCUUCUGGAGUAGCUGGGACUACAGAUAUGCGCCACCUUGCCAGGCUUACGUUUUAUUUUGUUGUGGAGACGGGGUCUUGCCAUCUUACCCAGGCUGGUCUCUAAUUCCUGAGUUAAGCAGUUCACCUGCCUUGGCCUCCCAAACUGCUGAGAUUACAGGUGUGAGCCACGGCGCCCAGCCAAUGUUUAGUUCUUAAAGACAGCAAAAAUAUACCCAAGGACUACUGACUUCCCCUUUUCUUGAUUUGCCAAUUCAGUCACAUAUUAGAACUGUAGAAACAAAGGGGCAAAGAAAUGGCUUCUAUCUUCAAAAUUGCCAACUUAAGAAACACGCUAGCCGGGUGUGGUGGCUCACACCUGUAAUCCCAGCAUUUUAGGAGGCAGAGUGGGCAGAUCACUUGAGGCCAGGAGUUCAAGACCAGCCUGGGCAACAUGGCAAAACCCCGUCUCUACAAAAAAUACAAAAAUUAACUGGGUGUGGUGUUGUGUGCCUGUAGUUCCAGCUACUCGGGAGGCUGAGGUGGGAGAAUCGUUUAUGCCCAGGAGGCGGAGGCUGCAGUGAGCCAUAAUCACCCCACUGUACUCUAGCCUGGGCAACAGAGCCAGACCCUGUCUCAAAAAAAAAAAAGGAAAAAAAAAUACAUCCUUCCUUGGCUAGUCAUUACUACAGAGAGAGGAAAAAGUAAGUGGGCUUGCUGGGGAAGAAAGAAAAAUUGUGAAUAUGUACUUUUGUCUAAGGAAAUUGGCUAUUUCUGGUCCUUCUGAAGGUAAAUGGACUAAAGGACUGCAUUGAAAAUCUUCCAGAUCAUGUAUUUAUUAGGUAGAAAUUGAUUAUGUCUACAAUUUAAUAGUAACAAACUUUUUAAGUUUUAUGUAAAGAUUACAUGGGAUAAUUUUAUGAGAUAGACUGUUUCUUUUUCCUUCCAAUUAGAGUGUGAGUGUGUGUGUGUAUAUAUACACACAGACUAAUUUAAUCUUCCAAACAAUCCUAUCAAGCAGCUACUAUUUUUCCCAUUUUACAGAUCAGGAAACUGACAUGAAUAUAUAUAUAGGUUAAUUGCCUAAACUGACCUAAUAGAUUUAGACAAAGGAGUCUUAUUUCAGAGUCUGUCUUUAAUGACUCCACAAUAUUGCCUCUCCUAUUUGAGGAGGAUUUCAGAAUUUCCCAUUCCUGGUAAACCCCACUAUCUCACUUAAUUUUAAUUCACCAAUCCUAAUCCUCAUUUCACUACGCUAAGGAUUUCAGAAAUGUUAAAGUAGCUUUCAAAGCAUUUUAAAUUUUCACUGCUUCCCUUAAAAGGCGGCCACACCAGGUAUGGUGGCUCACACCUGUAAUCCUAGCACUAUGGGAGGCCGAAGCGGGUGGAUUGCCUGAGCUCAGGAGUUCGAGACCAGCCUGGGCAACACGGUGAAACAGGAGAAGUUUUGUGGCAGGAGAAUUGCCAGAAUCCGGGAGGUGGAGGUUGCAGUAAGCUGAGAUCGC